UCAAGACUAAUAUAAAUAUUAGAUAUUAACAACUACAGUUCUAAACCUAAAGAUCAUGGCGGUGUCUUAUAAAUUCAGGGGAACCUGUCCCUUAAUUUGAUACUCCACACAUUACUCACCCCUCUCUUGCUUACAUCUUGUAUACUACUGUCGCCAGCAAACCUUAAUAAGGAUGUUUGCCAAAAUUUAUUAAUUAUACGUCAAGUCAAAGUGCAGCUUAUGGGUGGGGGCGAGAUGGGUUACAACCUAAACAAAGAUACUAAAAUAUUAACCAAUAAAAGGUGGACUUGACAGUAAUGAAAUAAAAAUCAUAAAAAUUUAUCUAAGACAUGUACACAUCGCCCGUCGCUCCCAUAAAAUUU
rnacentral:rRNA from 1 species